GUAAUUAUAAAGCUUUUUCCCUGUCUUAGGACGAGAAGCGGGGAGACAAUUGUCCAGAACGCCCAGGGUGUGGGCCUGCUUCAGACAAAGAAAGAGGAUCCUGUGGAAAGGGAAAAGGAGAGGAGAGGAGAGAAGGACGGGGAGACGGAGGAAAACCUGGAGGAGGACCACCAGAGGGAUGCGGACGAGGCAGCUGUGGUGGUGGUCCACCCAAUAAAUAAUGAAGAAAUCCUUGAUAGGCCAUUCUGUAAUAUGGUGAUAUAUACAUCUCUAAUAAACUAAUCCAUAAAAGGGCAA